UUUGGAAACCCGGUUUCAAAGGCUGUGCCGUUUGGGCCGAUGGAGCCGCCCCGUAGCUUCACGGGGGCACCCCGAUUCUGCGACUGGAGAAAAAAGGGCUUGUCUCCAGUGAAGGACCAGGGAGAGUGCGCAUCCUGUUGGGCCUUUGCGGCCGUCUCCAACAUAGAGGCGUUGUGGAAGAUUCACCGAAAUGUUAACUGCAGCCUCUCCGUGCAAGAAGUCACCGACUGCACAUACCAUUCCCGAG
rnacentral:lncRNA from 1 species